UACAGAGGGGGCAAGCGUUGUUCGGAAUUACUGGGCGUAAAGGGCGCGUAGGCGGCCUUCUAAGUCGAACGUGAAAUCCCUGGGCUCAACCCAGGAACUGCGUCCGAUACUGGAAGGCUUGAAUCCGGGAGAGGGAUGCGGAAUUCCAGGUGUAGCGGUGAAAUGCGUAGAGAUCCGGCGGAACACCGGUGGUGAAGACGGUCUCCUGGGCCGAGGGCCGACGCCUGAGGCGCGAGAGCGUGGGGAGCGAACCGG
rnacentral:rRNA from 1 species